rnacentral:rRNA from 1 species
CCUACGGGGGGCAGCAGUGGGGAAUAUUGCACAAUGGGCGCAAGCCUGAUGCAGCCAUGCCGCGUGUGUGAAGAAGGCCUUCGGGUUGUAAAGCACUUUCAGCGGGGAGGAAGGCGGUGAGGUUAAUAACCUCAUCGAUUGACGUUACCCGCAGAAGAAGCACCGGCUAACUCCGUGCCAGCAGCCGCGGUAAUACGGAGGGUGCAAGCGUUAAUCGGAAUUACUGGGCGUAAAGCGCACGCAGGCGGUCUGUCAAGUCGGAUGUGAAAUCCCCGGGCUCAACCUGGGAACUGCAUUCGAAACUGGCAGGCUAGAGUCUUGUAGAGGGGGGUAGAAUUCCAGGUGUAGCGGUGAAAUGCGUAGAGAUCUGGAGGAAUACCGGUGGCGAAGACGGCCCCCUGGACAAAGACUGACGCUCAGGUGCGAAAGCGUGGGGAGCAAACAGGAUUAGAUACCCCAGUAGUC